GAUGAACGCUAGCUACAGGCUUAACACAUGCGAGUCGAGGGGAAACGACAUCGAAAGCUUGCUUUUGGUGGGCGUCGACCGGCGCACGGGUGAGUAACGCGUAUCCAACCUGCCCACCACUUGGGGAUAACCUUGCGAAAGUAAGACUAAUACCCAAUGAUAUCCCACGAAGGCAUCCGAAUGGGAUUAAAGAUUUAUCGGUGAUGGAUGGGGAUGCGUCUGAUUAGCUUGUUGGCGGGGUAACGGCCCACCAAGGCUACGAUCAGUAGGGGUUCUGAGAGGAAGGUCCCCCACAUUGGAACUGAGACACGGUCCAAACUCCUACGGGAGGCAGCAGUGAGGAAUAUUGGUCAAUGGGCGAGAGCCUGAACCAGCCAAGUAGCGUGCAGGAUGACGGCCCUAUGGGUUGUAAACUGCUUUUUCAGGGGGGAUAAAGUGAGUGACGUGUCAUUCAUUGCAGGUACCCUGCGAAUAAGGACCGGCUAAUUCCGUG
rnacentral:rRNA from 1 species